GAACAAGCUAGUUUCCACACUCAACCAAUCAGAAAAAAGGAUGAAAAAAAAUCAAUGUCUCUUGAAUGAAUUCACAGAGGCGGCGGAAACCCAGCGCGGGCAGAACGAACAAAACAGAGCGCCUGUUGAGAAGCAAUUGGAUAUAAGUGAAGGAUGCAAUGGGGGAUUCGUUGGCCUGAGGCAUUAAGGAGGGAGGACUGGGAGGAAGCCGACGUGUGUCCGGAUGUCCCGACCGCAUUCCUCCGGUCAGGUGAUAGUUUAGGUCUUCCCAGGUUUCGGAAGACUGGCUGGGUCACCAAAUAAAUCGGCACUUGCUGAGCAAGACUGCAUCCUGGAGCAUACGCCCAGACAAUGGCCCCCACAUCCUGGAAAGCCGCUGCAGAAAUCGCUGAGCAUGGAGGACGAACUGCUGUUGAUGAGGCAAAAAUGAGGUAUAAGAGAAGAAAAGAGAAGCGCUCUCACUCGGUCCAUAUUCUAUGUUUGCAGCUUCUUUUUCUUUCCCACAUUUUCUUUGUCUCUGUAAAUAAUUGAAGACAGACAGUAAAUGUGCUGUGGAACGUGUGAAACGGGAAAGUACUAGGUUACAGGAAAGAGGAGAGGAGGCACACUGACCUACUUGUUUUCUGGAAGUACUGCCCUAGAUUGGAUUGUGAGGAACUCUGCUCAUUCUUGGUUUUUCUUUUUUGUUUUUCAAAUAUUCUGUCCGAGCCUUAAUACAAACACGUUUUCUUGUUUUUUUGUCAUGCACAAAAAUAGCCACUGUCUUUUUGAAAUGAGGCAUACAUAGGGCAUGCAUAGUUGACAUAGUUUGGGUAGACUUACUGUAUAUUAAAACAUACAGUGCAGAAAGGGUAAUGUCAUUAAUUGGGGUUAAGCGUGGCAUCUAACCAAAAUGUAAAACCUGCCUGCAACUGUUUUUCUGCCUGCCUAGACUCAUACCAAUUACCAAUUUUUGGAAAGACACAAACAUAUUAAUAUCAAUGAUUUAUAAGACUUGUAGUUUUGAUUCUUAUUACAGCCUCUUGUCAAGUUACACAUUAACGUUCAUAACCCUCUUAUGUCACAUAAUUCAUGCCAAAAACAUCACAUGCUGUUUCCAGCAUAAUAUAAAGAAGUAAUUGUAAAAAAAGGAACGUCAUAAUGCACCAACCUUUAGUGCAGGGAGUAGAAGAAGCAGUAUGUUAUGGGUUGGAGCAUAAAUCUCUGCAAUAUGCAAACAUGCAUUGUUGAUGUACCCAUACUCAAACUGUGGCACACCUCAGCGUUUUCUGCAGGGGUUACGAGCUCAUCUCCGUGAAACACUGCUGCUGCCACACAUGCGCUCGCCUCAUUACCAUCACUGGCCCUGAGAGAGGGCCCACACCCGCUGCAUAUCCCCGCUGCUCAGAACCGUCUUACAUGGGCUCCUGAUUCCCAUAAUACUGGACUGAAUGGCCUUGAUGGGCUAACAUAUUCUCAUCGGUGAAUCUCAACCAAGGUGGUUUCAGCAAAAAAAAAUCAAAUUCCAUUUCAUUUUAUUUCUUGACUGUUGAAUACACUAUGGUUCUGUUGGAAUGAAAAGUGGCAUAUAAAUAAAAUGCAGGUGAUGUAUAAUACUACUAAUAAUAACAACCGCGAACAUCAAGACGUGGCAUUGACUUCAUUGCGGCAGUGUCUUGUGUGGGCCUAACACUUUCCUGGUGGGAAAAGCGUAAGUGUUGAAAUAGAAUUGCUCAAUGCAUGUAGUUAGUGAUAAACGAAUGACUAAUACCGAAUAACAUCGGCUAAGGAACAUUAAGACAGCGAAGACAAUGUUGGAGAUUACAAUCAUGCUUUUCUCUGAAAAAAUGCAGUUCAUUUACUUGUUUGUGCACACAUUUCUACUGUUUUAGAAGAAUCAAAGCCUCCUACUUAGGCAUCACAUGCAGAACUGCGCGUUCAGGAACACUGAGGAGAGCUGCUGUAAUCCCUGUCACGCAUCUGAAGGCAUGGCCAGGCUGUGUGCAUGAAAACAGCUGCUGUGGAGGUGGAGCAAAUCAGAUGCUGUUCACAUGUAGGCUAAGCUGCUCAUCAUUAUCAGAUGAGUAACAGGCAUAGGGGGAGAAGAGGUGUGUGUUUCAGCUGCCGGGAUCAAACGCCAUCGCACCCAUCUCCCCCGAUGACGAAUGUUAUGGAUGCAUGGGUAUGCGUGGCCAUUAUGGCUUGUCUGUCUUUUUUCGUCAUCAGAGAAAUUGGAAUGGAUGUGGUCCAGUAAAAACCUCAGAAAAGCAUGAACUGAAACAAUGAGGUGUUGAAUGCAAUGCUGUUGUUACCAUGUCUUUUUGUUCUUUUUCUGAGAAAAAACUGAAUUGUUCUUCUGAAUUAGUUUAUUACUUAUAAAUAGUGGGGUCAUAUAAAAUCACCAAUAAUGGUGAAAAAAUGGUAAUAUAUCACUUAGUUUCGCUAAGUGCCAAGUAUAUGUACUGUUUUGUGUUCCACGAUUUGGAGUACAUUUUCCAAAGAGAACCAGAUUGUGAGAAUUACUGUUCCUUUCCCUGUCAAUACAAAUUCAAUGCAUGUGGCC